rfam:Harpegnathos saltator strain R22 G/1 HarSal_1.0_3.contig8559, whole genome shotgun sequence.
GUCAACGGUCAUACCACGCUGAAAACACCAGUUCUCGUCUGAUCACUGCAGUUAAGCAGCGUUGGGCACGGUUAGUACUUGGAUGGGUGACCACCUGGGAACACCGUGUACUGUUGGCG